UACAGGGGGGGCAAGCGUUGUUCGGAAUUACUGGGCGUAAAGGGUUCGUAGGUGGCCAACUAAGUCAGACGUGAAAUCCCUCAGCUUAACUGGGGAACUGCGUCUGAUACUGGUUGGCUUGAGUGCAGGAGAGGAACGCGGAAUUCCAGGUGUAGCGGUGAAAUGCGUAGAUAUCUGGAGGAACACCGGUGGCGAAGGCGGCAUCCUGGACCGGCAUUGACGCUGAUGAGCGAAAGCCAGGGGAGCAAACGGG
rnacentral:rRNA from 1 species